rnacentral:misc_RNA from 1 species
CGAACGCCUCGGCAGCUUGAUCUUGGCCUUUCGCAUGCGCUUGUGCGGGAUUGACUUCAGAAGAUGCGCGAUGCAGUUCAGCCGUGCCCUGCGUUUGUCGUCGGAGCGGAUGAUGCACCAUGGGGCGUGCCUCGUNNUUGGUCGCGUGCCCGCGAAUAGGCGUACCAUCGGCCGUAAGAUUCCAGAUCCAUCGGGCUCAAUUUCCAUUGCCGCAGCGGAUCUUCAAUUCUCGCCUUAAAGCGGCGCUCCUGCUCGUCCAUUCCGACCUCGAGCCAGAGCUUGAUUAGAAUGAUGCCGCCCUCGAUGAUGUAUCUUUCCA